CUAACAAGGAUUCCCCUAGUAACGGCGAGUGAAGCGGGAAGAGCUCAAAUUUGAAAUCUGGCAGUCUUCGAUUGUCCGAGUUGUAAUCUAUAGAGGCGUUUUCCGUGCCGGACCGUGUCCAAGUCUCCUGGAAAGGAGUAUCAAAGAGGGUGAUAAUCCCGUACUUAACACGACCACCGGUGCUCUGUGAUACGUCUUCUACGAGUCGAGUUGUUUGGGAAUGCAGCUCAAAAUGGGUGGUGAAUUCCAUCUAAAGCUAAAUAUUGGCGAGAGACCGAUAGCGAACAAGUACCGUGAGGGAAAGAUGAAAAGCACUUUGGAAAGAGAGUUAAACAGUACGUGAAAUUGUUGAAAGGGAAACGAUUGAAGUCAGUCGUGUUCUUUGGAUUCAGCCAGUUCUGCUGGUCUACUUCCUUUGAACGGGUCAACAUCAGUUUUGUCCGGUGGAUAAAGGUAGUAGGAAUGUGACUUCUCCGGAAGUGUUAUAGCCUAUUAUCACAUACACUGGGUGAGACUGAGGACUGCAGCUCGCCUUUAUGGCCGACCUUCGGGUACGUUCGAGCUUAGGAUGUU
rnacentral:rRNA from 1 species